CUGGUCCGUGUAGGGCCGGAGCUGUGGGCUCGUCAGGCUCAAGGCAUUUUUUCCCGCUGACGCUGCUGACUGAUGGAAUCACUGAAUUGUGUUUCUUCCAGAGUCAGCAUUUUGUCUGCCAGAACAGCUUGUUUCACUCUUGCUUUUCCAGGGAAAGAAUGGGAAAAGAUGUAAAAAGUAACCCGUAUCAAAUGAAAGAAAUAAAGCCCCAAAAGAGACCAGGCUGGAAGUCAGCAUGUGAAGUAGCAGGAAGGCUGUUCUCUGCAGGAGCUUCCGUAGAAGGAGCACAGGCCCUGCACCCCUCAGGGGCAUUUCGGGAAAACAUUCUUGAAGACUGAAGGAUCUCUGCUUGGAAAGCCCCAGUUACAUUGAGAAACCUCUGGCCGGAAACUGUGUGAAACUCCAACCCCUGCCCAGUGACUGUGCUUCAGUGCCUCAGUUUUGGAUAUAUGGAGAACGCACGGCCCUUUGCUGCUCUUAACGAAGAUCUCCACCUGUGCUGACCUGGAACUUGUACAUAGACAAGUAUGGCCUCAACCUCGCACAGAUCCCCCUGCUUCUGCCUACAGAGUGCACCUGUAAAAAAUAUUACAAUUCCUGUUUUCCAGCUGAGUACUGCAAAGGUAAGACAAUGACUUCAUCAAGGCGAGAGAGGUGCAGAGCUUCAGGCUGGCUCUGCCAAUCCGUCCCUGUUCUAGAAUCCAGUCUUAUUCCUUGAAGACCUCUUACUUGGCUCUAUUUCUGAUUCUGUUAGGUGGGACAUAGAGAAAGAGCUAAGAGUCCAUGUAAGUUUAGAAAGUUACCUUCUGGAUUUGUUCAAUGAACAGAGUCGUAAGAAAGACAGGCCUGGUACCAAGCAGCCUUGUGCAAUAAACCCGAGCUUUAAUUCUGCGAAGCAGAUACUGUCUCCAGUACUCCAGUUCCA